AUACAACUGGAGUGCUGCAGAGGGGAGGGAUUGAACAACCUGAUUCCUAAACAAAUUGGCAAAAGACCUGAAUUCUGGAAAAUUACUGACCAAAAGACAAUGGCCUCACAAUACUAUAAAUAGCAAUCCCAAGCAAGAACUCUUUGAGCUCUCCAGGGACCACAGAAGA